rnacentral:rRNA from 1 species
GAUGAACGCUAGCUCCAGGCUUAACACAUGCCAGUCGCGGGGCAGCAUGGGGGUUGCUUGCAAUCCCCGAUGGCGACCGGCGCACGGGUGAGUAACGCGUAUCCAACCUGCCCUUCACCACGGGAUAACCCGGCGAAAGUCGGACUAAUACCGUAUGUUGUCCAUUGACGGCAUCCGAUUUGGACGAAAGGUUUGGCGGUGAAGGAUGGGGAUGCGUCCGAUUAGCUGGACGGCGGGGUGACGGCCCACCGUGGCGACGAUCGGUAGGGGUUCUGAGAGGAAGGUCCCCCACACUGGAACUGAGACACGGUCCAGACUCCUACGGGAGGCAGCAGUGAGGAAUAUUGGUCAAUGGGCGUAAGCCUGAACCAGCCAAGUAGCGUGCAGGAUGACGGCCCUAUGGGUUGUAAACUGCUUUUAUGCGGGGAUAAAGUGGCCCACGUGUGGGUUUUUGCAGGUACCGCAUGAAUAAGGACCGGCUAAUUCCGUG